rnacentral:rRNA from 1 species
UACGUAGGGCGCAAGCGUUAUCCGGAAUUAUUGGGCGUAAAGAGCGUGUAGGCGGUUCGAUAAGUCUGCUGUGAAAGUCCAGGGCUCAACCCUGGGAUGCCGGUGGAUACUGUCGGGCUAGAGUACGGAAGAGGCGAGUGGAAUUCCCGUGUAGCGGUGAAAUGCGCAGAUAUCGGAGGAACGACCUCUUGCGAAGGCAGCUCGCUGGGACGUCACUGAGCUGAGACGCGAAAGCGUGGGGAGCAAACAGG